AUAUUCUUUAUUAACACUUUAUUUUAAGUGAUUACAAACAUAAGGCAUUUCAUAAACAUAUUUUGUCAUUUGUUACAUUGUAAUUCAGCAGUAUGACACAAAAAUUUUAAUCUUCAGUAAAUGAACAGGAAGUAAACAAACAUAAAAAAAGAAAACCUCCAGAAGGCUAAAAUAAUAGAUCAGUGACUCAGUCCCAGACUCAGCCUAAACCUCCAUUCAGAUUGGGUCUUAAGCAUUUACUCAUUAGAAUGGUAUCGUCAGAGAGUGAAAAGCGACUGGAGAAUGAACAAGACACUGGUAAGUAUACAUAAGACUAAGAAAAGGGGCAGAGAGCAACUGAGGAUUUAAACGUAACUAUGGAAAACUUAGAAGUAAACUAUAUAUCGGCCUUUAUUUCGAAAACCAUUACUGAAUAUCCAAAAUAACAAGUAAUUACAAAUUUCUGUUUAACCGAACAGCG
rnacentral:lncRNA from 1 species